rnacentral:rRNA from 1 species
UACGAAGGGUGCAAGCGUUGUCCGGAUUUAUUGGGUUUAAAGGGUGCGUAGGCGGUUCUUUAAGUCCGGGGUGAAAGCCCACUGCUCAACAGUGGAACUGCCCUGGAAACUGGAGAACUUGAGUACAGACGAGGGCGGCGGAAUGGAUGGUGUAGCGGUGAAAUGCAUAGAUACCAUCCAGAACCCCGAUUGCGAAGGCAGCUGCCUAGACUGUAACUGACGCUGAGGCACGAAAGCGUGGGGAGCGAACAGG